rnacentral:rRNA from 1 species
ACUAUUUCCCAAAAAACGAUCCGCAAAUUUAAUUUAUAUUAUUAUCAAUAGGUUAAUGUAUAAUUAAAUUAAAAAUGGAAAUUGUUUUUGAUUUUGAAAUUUAAUUGAGUAGUCUUAGUUGUGUUGAACGAAAAGCGCACAGUGAUCCUUCGUUCGCAUUGGGGAUGUAUCUGGAUCAACAACGAGGAGCUGCAUGAUGAAUCCACAGGCAACCACAACUGAUGAAUUAACCUUUACCAGGCCGCAAGGCGAGCUGGAAAAGCAAGUCCUGACCGCUGAGGCAGUCGAGUUUUUGACGGAGUUAGUCACCCGUUUUACGCCAAAACGCAAUAAACUCCUGGCUGCACGUAUCCAGCAACAGCAGGAUAUUGAUAACGGUAAGUUGCCUGAUUUUAUUUCGGAAACCACUUCCAUUAGAGAAAGUAAUUGGCAGAUUCGUGGUAUUCCGGCGGAUUUACAGGAUCGCCGAGUAGAAAUUACCGGGCCGGUUGAACGUAAAAUGGUGAUUAAUGCCCUGAACGCAAAUGUGAAAGUGUUUAUGGCGGAUUUUGAAGAC